CCCUUAGAUGUCCUGGGCUGCACGCGCGCUACACUGAUGUGUCCAGUAAGCACCUAACCUCUUCCGAAAGGAACGGGUAACCUUUGCAAAGCACAUCGUGAUGGGGAUAGAUUAUUGCAAUUAUUAGUCUUGAACGAGGAAUUCCUAGUAAGCACAAGUCAUCAGCUUGUGUUGAUUACGUCCCUGCCCUUUGUACACACCGCCCGUCGCUCCUACCGAUUGGAUGUUCCGGUGAGCUCUUCGGACUGCGCGGUCUGCAGUUUCUGCGUUCCGUGCGGAAAGUUGCGCAAACCUUAACAUUUAGAGGAAGGAGAAGUCGUAACA
rnacentral:rRNA from 1 species